rnacentral:rRNA from 1 species
UAGGGAAUCUUCGCGCAAUGGACGGAAGUCUGACCGAGCAACGCCGCGUGAGUGAAGAAGGUUUUCGGAUCGUAAAGCUCUGUUGUAAGAGAAGAACGAGUGUGAGAGUGGAAAGUUCACACUGUGACGGUAUCUUACCAGAAAGGGACGGCUAACUACGUGCCAGCAGCCGCGGUAAUACGUAGGUCCCGAGCGUUGUCCGGAUUUAUUGGGCGUAAAGCGAGCGCAGGCGGUUAGAUAAGUCUGAAGUUAAAGGCUGUGGCUUAACCAUAGUACGCUUUGGAAACUGUUUAACUUGAGUGCAAGGGGGGAGAGUGGAAUUCCAUGUGUAGCGGUGAAAUGCGUAGAUAUAUGGAGGAACACCGGUGGCGAAAGCGGCUCUCUGGCUUGUAACUGACGCUGAGGCUCGAAAGCGUGGGGAGCAAACAGGAUUAGAUACCCUGGUAGUCCACGCCGUAAACGAUGAGUGCUAGGUGUUAGACCCUUUCCGGGGUUUAGUGCCGCAGCUAACGCAUUAAGCACUCCGCCUGGGGAGUACGACCGCAAGGUUG